ACCUCUGCACCAUCCUGGGGGACAUGCUGGUGACACAGGCGCUGGACUCCCCAAAUCCCGAGGAGCUGCCAUCCCCAGAGCCAGCCCCUCACAAGGCGGUGGUUGAAUAACUGACUGACUGGCUGCCACAGGGGCGAGAAGGCCUAACCCUUCAUCCUCCACGUUGGCCCCCACAGCAGCUGAAGGGCCGGGUCCUGGUGAAGGGAAAGAAGUUGCCCGCUGCUCGGAGCGAGGAUGGCCGGGCUCUGUCGGAUCGGGAGGAGGAGGAGGAGGAUGACGAGGAGGAAGAAGAGGAGGUGGAGGCUGCAGCGCAGAGGCGGCUGGCCAAGCAGAUCUCCCCGGAGCUGUCGGCCCUGGCUGUGUACUGCCACGCCACCCGCCUGCGGACCCUGCACCCUGCCCCCAACGCCCCACAACCCUGCCAGGUCAGCUCCCUCAGCGAGCGCAAAGCCAAGAAACUCAUUCGGGAGGCAGGGAACAGCUUUGUCAGGCACAAUGCCCGCCAGCUGACCCGCGUGUACCCGCUGGGGCUGCGGAUGAACUCAGCCAACUACAGUCCCCAGGAGAUGUGGAACUCGGGCUGUCAGCUGG
rnacentral:lncRNA from 10 species